GAUGAACGCUGGCGGCGUGCCUAAUACAUGCAGGUCGAGCGAACAGACGAGGAGCUUGCUCCUCUGACGUUAGCGGCGGACGGGUGAGUAACACGUGGAUAACCUACCUAUAAGACUGGGAUAACUUCGGGAAACCGGAGCUAAUACCGGAUAAUAUAUUGAACCGCAUGGUUCAAUAGUGAAAGACGGUUUUGCUGUCACUUAUAGAUGGAUCCGCGCCGCAUUAGCUAGUUGGUAAGGUAACGGCUUACCAAGGCGACGAUGCGUAGCCGACCUGAGAGGGUGAUCGGCCACACUGGAACUGAGACACGGUCCAGACUCCUACGGGAGGCAGCAGUAGGGAAUCUUCCGCAAUGGGCGAAAGCUUGACGGAGCAACGCCGCGUGAGUGAUGAAGGUCUUCGGAUCGUAAAACUCUGUUAUUAGGGAAGAACAAAUGUGUAAGUAACUAUGCACGUCUUGACGGUACCUAAUCAGAAAGCCACGGCUAACUACGUG
rnacentral:rRNA from 1 species